rnacentral:miRNA from 1 species
GGUCAGCUGACACAUCCCUGCCAAUCUCCGGCAGACCCUCCCUCCCAGACCCUCCUACUUCCUGGACAGCAUCCAUGUUGAAGACAGCUUCAACAUGGAUGCUGUCCAGGAGGUGGGAGGGUCUGGGAGGGAGGGUCUGCCGGAGAUUGGCAGGGAUGUGUCAGCUG